CCUACGGGAGGCAGCAGUGAGGAAUAUUGGUCAAUGGGCGAGAGCCUGAACCAGCCAAGUCGCGUGAGGGAGUACUGCCCUAUGGGUUGUAAACCUCUUUUGUCGGGGAGCAAAAGCCGGACGUGUCCGGCUGUGAGAGUACCCGAAGAAAAAGCAUCGGCUAACGCCGUGCCAGCAGCCGCGGUAAUACGGAGGAUGCGAGCGUUAUCCGGAUUUAUUGGGUUUAAAGGGUGCGCAGGCGGAUUUUUAAGUCAGCGGUAAAAUCGUGGGGCUCAACCCCAUCCAGCCGUUGAAACUGGGGAUCUAGAGUGUGCGAGAGGUAUGCGGAAUGCGUGGUGUAGCGGUGAAAUGCAUAGAUAUCACGCAGAACCCCGAUUGCGAAGGCAGCAUACCGGUGCACAACUGACGCUCAGGCACGAAAGCGUGGGUAUCGAACAGGAUUAGAUACCCUUGUAGUC
rnacentral:rRNA from 1 species